rfam:Schistosoma mansoni, Puerto Rico, WGS project CABG01000000 data, contig: 0229
AUCAAGCUGACGAGUCUCAUAUAGGACGAAACGCGCAUCCUGGAU